UACGAAGGGGGCUAGCGUUGUUCGGAAUUACUGGGCGUAAAGCGCACGUAGGCGGAUCGAUCAGUCAGGGGUGAAAUCCCGGGGCUCAACCUCGGAACUGCCUUUGAUACUGCGGGUCUUGAGUCCGAUAGAGGUGGGUGGAAUUCCUAGUGUAGAGGUGAAAUUCGUAGAUAUUAGGAAGAACACCGGUGGCGAAGGCGGCCCACUGGAUCGGUACUGACGCUGAGGUGCGAAAGCGUGGGGAGCAAACAGG
rnacentral:rRNA from 1 species